GAUGAACGCUGGCGGCGUGCUUAACACAUGCAAGUCGAACGAAGCACUUUAUUUGAUUUCCUUCGGGACUGAUUAUUUUGUGACUGAGUGGCGGACGGGUGAGUAACGCGUGGGUAACCUGCCUUGUACAGGGGGAUAACAGUUGGAAACGGCUGCUAAUACCGCAUAAGCGCACAGCAUCGCAUGAUGCAGUGUGAAAAACUCCGGUGGUAUAAGAUGGACCCGCGUUGGAUUAGCUAGUUGGUGAGGUAACGGCCCACCAAGGCGACGAUCCAUAGCCGACCUGAGAGGGUGACCGGCCACAUUGGGACUGAGACACGGCCCAAACUCCUACGGGAGGCAGCAGUGGCGAAUAUUGCACAAUGGGCGAAAGCCUGAUGCAGCGACGCCGCGUGAGCGAAGAAGUAUUUCGGUAUGUAAAGCUCUAUCAGCAGGGAAGAUAAUGACGGUACCUGACUAAGAAGCACCGGCUAAAUACGUG
rnacentral:rRNA from 1 species